CCCAAGCUUAGCAGAGCAGUGACCACAGGGCAGUGAAGGGAAAAGAGCAAGAUAGUCAAGUUCUACAUUGAUAAACCAACUACAAAAGUUUUAUGGAAGAGAGAGUGUCUAAAAAUAGCUUAAUUAAAUCUACAUGGAACUAAGGCUGGGUCUGUGAAAUAGCAAGCCUGGAUUUCCUUUAGGAGUUUACGCAGAUCUUUGCUCCCUUCAUACUACUCUGGAGGAACAACAGGACGAAUCGACCCGUCACAUAGUGCCACUGCAUAAGCAUAGAGACCCUUGGAUGUGAGGAUGCUGUGAGUUCAGACUGUAGCUGUGCUGCACAAUUACUUUUUCUGAAGGGCAAGUUCCAGACCUGGGUUAGUCUGCCACCGCCACUAAAACAAGUAUCCCUUUUCCUGUGGUUAAAGAAAAUCAUGAACAAAGCUACGUUGCUGGAGGUGUGAGCAUGAAGUGAAGAAGGCGCCUUUCACUGCUUGCAAAAGGGGAUCCACAUUUCUCUUCCACACAAGGUAACUCUGUACCCAGGCAGUCUUGGUACACGCAGGACUUGGAGCAGACCUCAGCCUAGAUCCUGGAAUGCAGAAAACAGCUGUUUUGCCUAUAAAUAAACCAAGAGGCUCUUCUCAUAUGAGGCCAUUUUUUUUUUUUUAAACAGAUAUGCCGUAGAAAUGAAGUGUCACUUUAACUGUUGGUGUUUGAAGUUGGAGUAUGUGGUAGUAGCAGGAUUCACAUUCUAAUCUGUGAAAGUCGCUGUGAUCAGGUUUCAGCCUUAUCGCCUUGGUAUCAUGUUUCAGUGAAACCACUUGUA